rnacentral:rRNA from 1 species
CUACGGGAGGCAGCAGUGAGGAAUAUUGCGCAAUGGGGGAAACCCUGACGCAGCGACGCCGCGUGGAUGAUGAAGGCUUUCGGGUCGUAAAAUCCUGUCAGAAGGGAAGAAAUGCUAUAUGCCUAAUAUGUGUAUAGUUUGACGGUACCUUCAAAGGAAGCACCGGCUAACUCCGUGCCAGCAGCCGCGGUAAUACGGAGGAUGCAAGCGUUGUUCGGAAUUACUGGGCGUAAAGCGCGCGUAGGCGGCCUUUUAAGUCAGAUGUGAAAGUCCACGGCUCAACCGUGGAAGUGCAUUUGAUACUGGGAGGCUUGAGUACUGGAGGGGAUGGUGGAAUUCCCGGUGUAGAGGUGAAAUUCGUAGAUAUCGGGAGGAAUACCGGUGGCGAAGGCGACCAUCUGGCCAGAUACUGACGCUGAGGUGCGAAAGCAUGGGGAGCAAACAGGAUUAGAUACCCUAGUAGUC